CUCACUGCUCCUCCUUUAUAGGUCGUAGGGGACUGGGUGGCGGUGCUCCAAGCCAGCAGGGGGCUGGGUGGCAGUGUUCCACAUCAGUAGAACACUACUUAAUUUGCCUUUACAAAUUCUCGGAACUUAAGUAUGGGUGACAGACUGCUUUUCGACAUAGAAGAAUACCAUAAGGAAAUGGUAAUUAACUUUUGAGAGCAUGUCAUCCUAUGUUUAAAUUUCUUUGAAAGUUGUGCUUCCGCAAGCCCAGCUGUGCAUACCUCGACUGCUCUUCCUUUGGGUCGCCUGUUCUCUGUAUGUGUUUGGUCCAACAUAGAACUAAGAGGUUUCUAAUCAACUCGGUCUGCCUCAGAAUUAAGCUAAAGCUAAAUUUCUGGACAUAAUGCAUCAGCCAUAGCCCAUAGCAGUGCGUACCUCGACUAAGAGCCGUCUACCCAUGCUGGUGGAGGUGGUGGUCUAGCGAAGAAAGCUAGAAACUAAGUUACCCUGCGCCUGCAGAGAUGCUACUCCUUAAGAUCAGACUUAUUUUGCCUAUCCAUCGUCUAAUUCCAUGAUGGACUCAAAAACCUGUCCUCGGUGAUAUUUUUGUUCCGUCAUCCAGGUCUCUGUUGCCGAAUGUCUCAUUGUUGAUGUAUAUUGAGACCAGCUACCUCUGCCUUUUAGAAUCGGUGUUGGUUACACAAAACUCAUCAGGUUAUUGACGCGUGUUUCCAAACUGAUCGAAACUUAUGUAUUUAGUACUAUUUACAUGUGAUCAAAACUUAUGUAUUGAAUGCGGUGUGAAUUUCCAUAUUGCUUCCCAUGUGUGCUUCA